rnacentral:rRNA from 1 species
AGCGAACGCUGGCGGCAGGCCUAAUACAUGCAAGUCGAGCGCACCUUCGGGUGAGCGGCGGACGGGUGAGUAACGCGUGGGAAUGUGCCCUUUGGUGCGGAACAACUGAGGGAAACUUCAGCUAAUACCGUAUGUGCCCUUCGGGGAAAGAUUUAUCGCCAUUGGAGCAGCCCGCGUUGGAUUAGGUAGUUGGUGAGGUAAAGGCUCACCAAGCCUACGAUCCAUAGCNGGUCUGAGAGGAUGAUCAGCCACACUGGGACUGAGACACGGCCCAGACUCCUACGGGAGGCAGCAGUAGGGAAUCUUGCGCAAUGGGCGAAAGCCUGACGCAGCCAUGCCGCGUGAAUGAUGAAGGUCUUAGGAUUGUAAAAUUCUUUC